GGUUCUCCCUGGUCCCACCUGGCCUUGCCCUGGAGUCCGUGUCUGCUUUCAGUUGAGCCGUGAGGGAUCCGGUUACUCCAUAGAUCAGAGCGCUGAGCGACUCCUGGUUCGGCCGGAGAAAGAGCCGCGCUCUUCCUGUGGACCCUGCUCUGCUUGUCCCUCCAGACGCCUCACCCUGACCUUCCGGCGUAAGCUCAGGUCUCUGCCCCUCAAGGAAACCUUCCUGCCCCACCGCCCCCAUUUGGUGAUGAAGCUUCAUCCUGUGCUCCUGAGCCAAGGCGUCCUGGCCCCUGUAACCUGCUCUGCUUCCGUGCCUGUAGCACGCAUCAUCUGACUUUUACUUUUCAUGUCAUUGUUGACUGUUCAGCUCCCAAGGCGGAGGUGAGCUCUGAUUUUCUUUAGGGACAUAUUCCAGGCUCCUGGAAGAGGUCCUGGCAGGUUGCAGCUUUGACAAAUUUGGAUGGAACUGAGGAAGCUGGCGGAGAGGACAGAGAUGCUCAGUUGCUCAUAGGAAAAACUGUGGGUCAAGCACUAUUGGAUUCCAGCAUGUCAGCAAUCAAUCAAUCAGUCAAUCACCUUUUUUUGAAGUGUGAAUUCCUUGACUCCAGUUUCCUAAAAGAGCAAGUAAAAAGUAAGGGAAAAUACAAAUUAAAAGUAAGUGGUGUAAUUCUUCCUGUAUUAACAGGAGAGAGCCCUGGAACCUUUUCUCAGAGCAUUUACUGUCAAACUUGUAAUUGAAAGUUCUUUGUCUCUUUGAAAUGUGUACAACUCUUUUUAAAAGCUAAAUAAGCUUUGUGACAGUUUUACAGCCCAGGAAUGUCUUUCUCAAGGACUUGGGAGCCAUCCAUUUGAAACAGUCUUCCAGGAAGGCAGCUCCAGGUUCCCUGGGAGGUUUGGGCCUAGAGUCAGCUGGCAGGGCCUCAAAGUUGCAAACCCACCUCCUGUUGUAAAGAUAGGAGUUUAUUUUUCCUUCCAGAUAAAACCAGUUAACUAAUGGUGGCCAUCCCAAUUGCCAGACAAAUCUGGGGUGAGCUAUGAGUGGCAAAUGGUGCCGUGGUGUCCUCUCACCUGAGUCCGAGUUCUCGCCCACCUGAGAAUGAGUGUGGUGGCUGCACCUGCUGGCCAUGUGAAGCUGAGUUCCCGUGUUCCCACGUCCUCGAGAGGCAGACUGACCUUGGUUUUCUGAAGCGUGGAUGUCUCUUCACCCGUCCCUGGGAAUUGCUCCGUGACUUCUUUUACCAGAUGGCGAAGUCCUCACUGAGGGAUUUUUAAGGAUUGUUUGUGCUUGACAAUGGGAUCCGAGUGCUGCGGCCAUCAGGAGCCAGGGGUGUUUCGGAUGGGGCCCUAAGUGUCCUGCUGCCUUCAAAGUGACAGAGAUGGACGAGCAAUGUCCCCCGCUGUCCCCAGAGCCAGAG